rnacentral:rRNA from 1 species
UACAGAGGUCUCAAGCGUUGUUCGGAUUCAUUGGGCGUAAAGGGUGUGUAGGUGGCGCCGUAAGUCGGGUGUGAAAUUUCGGAGCUUAACUCCGAAACUGCAUUCGAUACUGCCGUGCUUGAGGACUGGAGAGGAGACUGGAAUUUACGGUGUAGCGGUGAAAUGCGUAGAUAUCGUAAGGAAGACCAGCGGCGAAGGCGGGUCUCGUGGACAGUUCCUGACGCUGAGGCACGAAGGCCAGGGGAGCAAACGGG